GAUGAAGAACGUAGCGAAACGCGAUAGUUAAUGUGAAUUGCAGAAUUCAGUGAAUCAUCGAGUCUUUGAACGCACAUUGCGCCCCCUGGUAUUCCGGGGGGCAUGCCUGUCCGAGCGUCAUUGCUGCCCAUCAAGCGCGGCUUGUGUGUUGGGUCGCCGUCCGCCUUCCCCCCCGGGGGGAGGGGGACGGGCCCGAAAGGCAGCGGCGGCACCGCGUCCGGUCCUCGAGCGUAUGGGGCUCUGUCACCCGCUCUGGAGGCCCGGCCGGCGCCCGCCGACCCCCAACCUUCUUCUAACCAGGUUGACCUCGGAUCAGGUAGGGAUACCCGCUGAACUUAAGCAUAUCAAUAAGCGGAGGA
rnacentral:misc_RNA from 1 species